CUGUUGUAGAUAUAUAAGAAGAAAAACCACAUUGGUAUUUGGUAUAUGACAUAUUUUUACAAAAACCAAGAGAAGCUUUCUGACCAUGGAGGUGAGAAUUCAACCAGGACUCUACUGAUGGCUAAGCUGAAGCGGUUGAUUGAGGCAAAUCCACUCAUUGGUGAUAAGCUUCAGUUUCCUACCUUGCAGAUGUCAAGACUAGAAACACUAGUUAAACAGAGAUUCAGCAAUGCAAUACUAAAGGAUCUAAUCAUAAACUGCCCAAGAAUCUUCUAUAUGAGGACCCUUACCGUGGUCAAGCAACUGACACCAUCUCUUUUAGCUUAUGGAGGGUGAUCGUAAAAUGAUGUUGGAUAUUCUUAAAAGGGAACUCGAAGUGUUUACUCUUUCCCAAGCAGAUCUUUACAGGGGACUUGUACCCUUUUUCCAAUUGAACAGCUUCAGAAAGCAAGGGAAGCUUUCAGCCAGGAUCCUACUAAUGGCUAAGCUGAAGCAAUUGACUCAGGCAAAUCCACUCAUUGGUGACAAGCUUCAAUUUCCUACCCUGCAGAAGUCCAGACUAGAAACACUAGUCAAACUGAGCUUAAAUUGGCAGAUUCAGUAGCGCGAUAAUGAAGGAUCUAAUCAUAAACUGUCCGAGAAUCUUCUAUAUGAGGACCCUAACUGUGAUCAAGCAACUCACACCAUCUCCUAUAGCUCAUGCAGUUGGAGAGGGAAUCAAGGCUUUUCUUUGAUAUCAAGUAUUUCAAAGAAUGUGUGAGCAAUAGAGACUGGAAGGAGGUGGAGAAGUACUUAUCACGGUUCACAAAUGCAAAUGAUAACCCUGAAUCCUUUAGCAUUUUCUUUGAGAUCAGAAGGCAGAAUUAUUAUGAAGUACAUGACAAAAGUGAUCAUAAAAUGAUGCUGGACAUUCUUAAAAGGGAACUCGAAGUGUUUACUCUUUCCCAAGCGGAUCUUUACAGGGACUUGUACCCCUUUUCCAAUUGAAUAGCUUCAGAAAACAAGAGAAGCUUUCUGGCCAUGGAGAUGAGAAGUCUGCUAGGAUCCUACUGAUGGCUAAGCUGAAGCAGUUGAUUGAGGCAAAUCCACUCAUCGGUGAUAAGCUUCAGUUUCAUACCUUACAGAUGUCAAGACCAGAAACAGUAGUCAAACUGAGAGCUUAUAUUGGCAGAUUCAGCAAUGCGAUCUGAAGGAUCUAAUCAUAAACUGCCCAAGAAUCUUCUAUAUGAGGACCCUUACUGUGAUCAAGCAACUGACACCAUCCCCUGUACCUCAUGGAGUUGGAGAGGGAAUCAAGGCUUUUCUUUGAUAUCAAGUAUUUCGAAGAAUGUGUGAGCAAUGGAGACUGGGAGGAUUUGGAAAAGUACUUAUUACGGUUCACAAAUGCAUAGGAUAACCCUAUAUCCUUUAGCAUUUUCUUUGAGAUCAGAAUGUAGACUUAUUAUGAAGCACAUGACAAGAGUGAUCGUAAAAUGAUGUUGGACAUUCUUAAAAGGGACCUCGAAGUGUUUACUACAGGAGACUUGUACGCCUUUUCCAAUUGAACAGCGUCAGAAAGCAAGAGAAGCUUUCUGUCCAUAGAGAUAAGAAGUCAGCCAGGAUCCUACUGAUGGCUAAACUAAAGCAGUUGACUGUGGCAAAUCCACUCAUUGGUGACAAGCUUCAGUUCCCUACCUUGCAGAAGCCGAGACUAGAAACACUAGUCAAACUGAGGUGAACAGGUUAAGUUGGCAGAUUCAGCAAUGCGAUAAUGAAGGAUCUAAUCAUAAACUGUACGAGAAUCUUCCAUAUGAGGACCCUUACUGUGAUCAAGCAACUGACACCAUCCCCUGUAGCUCAUGGAGGUUGGAGAGGGAAUCAAGGCUUUUCUUUAAUAUCAAGUAUUUCUAAGAAUGUGUGAGCAAUGGAGACUGGGAGGAGGUGGGGAAGUACUUAUCACGGUUCACAAAUGCAGAGGAUAACCCGGAAUCCUUUAGCAUUUUCUUUGAGAUCAGAAGGCAGAAUUAUUAUGAAGCACAUGACAAAUUAUGGUGAUUCUGUUCAUAGUAUGGAUGAGUUGCAAUUGGUGACUCUGCAUUGGAAGUGAAGCUUCUUAGAAUGCUAUGCCUAGAAGAAUGCCUUUAAUUGCCCCCUAUAAACUGAGGCAAAAUGUGAUACUUGAAUUUGAAACUGAGGCAAGCAAGGUGUUCUGGGGUCAAAAUAAGGCAUUCCGGAUGCAGGGAGUACGGUACCAAAAACUCCAAAGAUGGAAUGAUUGUGAUUUGUUUUCAAAAUAAUAUGUGUGCGGACUGUAUAAGAGGAUUCAUCUCAAAUCAAUUGAAUGAUUAAGUUGCCAGCUGUGCUUAUGCUCUUUCCAUUCUAUCAAUGUCAUCUUUGUACUCCAUAGAAUUUUACCAUCUGGCCUUCUCUGGUACUUGUAUGAUUUUUUAGGCUUUGUAAGAGUGCGUGAUGUGGAUAUAUAAGAAGCAAAACCACAUUGGCAUUAUGUAUAUGACAUAUAUUUCUAGAAAACAAGAGAAUCCUUCUGGCCAUGGAGAUGAGAAGUCUGCUAGGAUCCUACUGAUAGCUAAGCUUAAGCAGUUGAUUGAGGCAAAUCCACUAAUUGGUGAUAAGCUUCAGUUUCCUACCUUGUAGAAGUCAAGACUAGAAACACUAGGCAAAUUGAGUUUAUAUUGGCAGAUUCAACAAUGCGAUACUAAAGUAUCUAAUCAUAAACUGCCCAAGAGUGUUCUAUAUGAGGACCCUUAUUGUGAUCAAGCAACUGACACCAUCCCCUGUAGCUCAUGGAGUUGGAGAGGGAAUCAAGGCUUUUCUUUGAUAUCAAGUAUUUCCAAGAAUGUGUGAGCAACGGAGACUGGGAGGAGAUGGAGAAGUACUUAUCACUGUUCACAAAUGCAGAUAAUAACCCUGAAUCCUUUAGCAUUUUCUUUGAGAUCAGAAGGCAGAAUUAUUAUGAAGCACAUGACAAGAAUGAACGUAACAUGAUGCUGGACAUUCUUAGAAGGGACCUCGAAGUACUUACUCAUUCCCAAGCAGAUCUUUACAGGGGUCUUGUACACCUUUUCCAAUUGAACAAUUUCAGUAUUGGAAGUGAAGCUUCUUAGAAUGGUAUGAGCAAAAGAAUGCCUUUAAUUGCCCCCUAUAAACGGAGGCAAAAUGUGAUGCUUGGAUUUGAAACUGACGCAAACUUGCUGCUCCGGGGUCAAAAUCAGGCAUUCUGGAUACAGAGAGUGCUGAACCAGGAAAUUCGAAGGUGGAAGGAGCGGUUGAUUUGUUUUCAAAAUAAUGCAUCUGCAAACUAUAUUAGAGGAUUCAUCUCAAAUCAGUUGAAUGAUUAAGUUGCCCGCUGUGCUUAUAUUCUUUCAAUUCUGUCAUUGUCUUCUUUGUACUCUGUAGAAUUUUUCAAUCUGACCUUCUCUGGCACUUGUACAAUUUUUUAAGCUUUGUAAGAGUGUGUGAUGUGGAUAUAUAUGAAGCAAAACCACAUUGGUAUAAAGUAUAUGACAUAUUUUUCCGGAAAGCUAGUGAAGCUUUCAUACCAUGGAGAUGAGAACUCAGCCAGGAUCCUACUGAUGGCUAAGCUUAAGCAGUUGAUUGAGGCAAAUCCACUAAUUGGUGAUAAGCUUCAGUUUCCUACCUUGCAGAAGUCAAGACUAGAAACACUAGUCAAACUGAGUUUCUAUUGGCAGGUUCAGCAAUGCGAUACUAAAGUAUCUAAUUAUAAACUGCCCAAGAAUGUUCUAUAUGAGGACCCUUAUUGUGAUCAAGGAACUGACAGCAUCCACUGUAGCUCAUGGAUUUGGAGAGGGAAUCAAGGCUUUUCUUUGAUAUCAAGUAUUUUGAAGAAUGUGUGUGCAAUGGAGACUGGGAGGAGGCGGAGAAGUACUUAUCACGGUUCACAAAUGCAGAGGAUAACCUUGAAUCCUUUAGCAUUUUCUUUGAGAUCAAAAGGCAAAUUAUUAUGAAGCACAUGACAAGGGUGAUCGUAAAAUGAUGCUGGACAUUCUUAAAAGGGAACUUGAAGUGUUUACUCUUUCCCAAGCAGAUCUUUACAGGGACUUGUACCCCUCUUCCAAUUGAACAGUUUCAGGUUGCAAUUGGUAACUCUGUAUUGGAAGUGAAGCUUCUUAGAAUGGUAUGAGCAGAAGAAUGCCUUUAAUUGCCCCCUAUAAAUUGGGAUAGAAAGUGAUACUUGGAUUUGAAACUAAGGCAAGCAAGCCGUUCCGGGGGUAAAAUCAGGCAUUCUGGAUGCAAGGAGUGCGGUACCAGAAACUCCAAAGUUAGAAUGAGUGGUUGAUUUGUUUUCAAAAUAAUGUUUGUGCAAAUUGUAUUAGAGGAUUCAUCUCAAAACAGUUGAAUGAUUAAACUGCCUGCUGUGCUUAUGUUUUUUCCAUUAUGUCAAUGCCUCCUUUGUACUCCGUAGAAAUUUUCAAUUUGGCCUUUCCUGGUACUUGUACUAUUUUUUAGGCAUUGUAAGAAUGUGUGAUGUGGAUAUAAGAGAAGCAAAACCACAUUGGUAUUAGGUAGAUGACAUAUUUUUACAGAAAUGAAAAGAAGCUUUCUAACCAAGGAGUUGAGAAUUCAACCAGGAUCCUACUGAUGGCUCAGCUGAAGCGGUUGAUUGAGGCAAAUCCACUCAUUGGUGAUAAGCUUCAGUUUCCUACCUUGCAGAUGUCAAGACUAGAAACACUAGUCAAACUGAGUUUAUAUUGACAGAUUCAGCAAUGCGAUACUAAAGUAUCUAAUCAUAAACUGCCCAAGAAUGUUCUAUAUGAGGACCCUUACUGUGAUCAAGCAACUGACACCAUCCCCUGUAGCUCAUGGAGUUGGAGAGGGAAUCAAGGCUUUUCUUUGAUAUCAAAUGUUUCUAAGAAUGUGUGAGCAAUGGAGACUGGGGGGAGGUGGAGAAGUACUUAUCACAGUUCACAAAUGCAGAGGAUAACCCUGAAUCCUUUAGCAUUUUCUUUGAGAUCAGAAGGCAAAUUAUUAUGAAGCACAUGACAAGGGUGAUCGUAAAAUGAUGCUGGACAUUCUUAAAAUGGAACUCGAAGUGUUUACUCUUUUCCAAGCAGAUCUUUACAGGGACUUGUACCCCUUUUUCAAUUGAACAGCUUCAGGUGUAUAUUACAACGUCUUUUUUGUUCUCAUUAAUUGAUACAAGUAAUUAUGGAGAUUCUGUUUGUAGUUUGGAUGAGUUGCAAUUGGUAACUCUGUAUUGGAAGUGAAGGUUCUUAGAAUGGUAUGAGGAGAAGAAUGCCUUCAAUUGCCCCCUACAAAUUGAGACAAAAAGUGAUACUUGGAUUUGAAACUGAGGCAAGCAUGCUGUUCCGGAGUCAAAAUAAGGCAUUCUGGAUGCAGGAAGUGCUGCGCCAGAAACUCUAAAGAUGGAAUGAGUGGUUGAUUUUUUUCAAAAUAAUGUGUGUACUGACUGUAUAAGACGAUUAAUCUCAAAUCAAUUGAAUGA